AGCGAACGUUAGCGGCGGGCCUAACACAUGCAAGUCGAACGCGAAAGGGAUUCGUCCCCGGUAGCGUGGCGUCCGGGUGAGUAACACGUAGGAAACCUUUCCUCGAGAGUGGGAUAACGUUCCGAAAGGGACGCUAAUACCGCACAAGCCCACGACCGCUUCGGCGGAUGAGGGAAAAGAUGGACUAUGUAUAAAAGCUAUCACCUUGUGGUGGUCCGGCGGCGCAUCAGCUUGUUGGUAGGGUAAUGGCCUACCAAGGCGAAGACGCGUAGCUGGUCUGAGAGGAUGAUCAGCCACACUGGCACUGAAACCCGGGCCAGACUCCUACGGGAGGCAGCAGUGGGGAAUAUUGGACAAUGGGCGCAAGCCUGAUCCAGCCACGCCGCGUGAGUGAUGAAGGCCUUCGGGUUGUAAAGCUCUGUGGGGAGAGGCGAAAACAGUCAUCAAGAAACGGAUGAUUCUUGACGGUGUCUCCUUAGCAAGCACCGGCUAACUCUGUGCCAGCCGCCGCAGUAAAAC
rnacentral:rRNA from 1 species